GAUGAACGCUGGCGGCGUGCCUAAUACAUGCAAGUCGAGCGAACGGACGAGAAGCUUGCUUCUCUGAUGUUAGCGGCGGACGGGUGAGUAACACGUGGAUAACCUACCUAUAAGACUGGGAUAACUUCGGGAAACCGUAGCUAAUACCGGAUAAUAUUUUGAACCGCAUGGUUCAAAAGUGAAAGACGGUCUUGCUGUCACUUAUAGAUGGAUCCGCGCUGCAUUAGCUAGUUGGUAAGGUAACGGCUUACCAAGGCUUUGACGGGUAGCCGGCCUGAGAGGGUGACCGGCCACAUUGGGACUGAGAUACGGCCCAGACUCCUACGGGAGGCAGCAGUGGGGAAUAUUGCACAAUGGGCGGAAGCCUGAUGCAGCAACGCCGCGUGCGGGAUGACGGCCUUCGGGUUGUAAACCGCUUUCGCCUGUGACGAAGCGUGAGUGACGGUAAUGGGUAAAGAAGCACCGGCUAACUACGUG
rnacentral:rRNA from 1 species